UGGCGUGGAGAGGAGGUUGUGUUGCUCUGGCUCUAUCUAUUUGGCGUGGAGAGGAGGUCGCGUUGCUCUGGCUCCAUCUAUUUGGCAGGGAGAGGAGCUUGUGUUGCUCUGGCUCUAUCUGUUUGGCUAUGCUGGGAAGCUGCUUGACAUCCUCCUGAAUCCA